UACGAAGGGGGCUAGCGUUGCUCGGAAUCACUGGGCGUAAAGGGUGCGUAGGCGGGUUUUUAAGUCAGAGGUGAAAUCCUGGAGCUCAACUCCAGAACUGCCUUUGAUACUGAAAGUCUUGAGUACGGGAGAGGUGAGUGGAACUGCGAGUGUAGAGGUGAAAUUCGUAGAUAUUCGCAAGAACACCAGUGGCGAAGGCGGCUCACUGGCCCGGUACUGACGCUGAGGUGCGAAAGCGUGGGGAGCAAACAGG
rnacentral:rRNA from 1 species